rnacentral:rRNA from 1 species
GUAACGGAGGAGUUCGAAGGUUACCUAGGUCCGGUCGGAAAUCGGACUGAUAGUGCAAUGGCAAAAGGUAGCUUAACUGCGAGACCGACAAGUCGAGCAGGUGCGAAAGCAGGACAUAGUGAUCCGGUGGUUCUGUAUGGAAGGGCCAUCGCUCAACGGAUAAAAGGUACUCCGGGGAUAACAGGCUGAUUCCGCCCAAGAGUUCAUAUCGACGGCGGAGUUUGGCACCUCGAUGUCGGCUCAUCACAUCCUGGGGCUGUAGUCGGUCCCAAGGGUAUGGCUGUUCGCCAUUUAAAGUGGUACGUGAGCUGGGUUUAAAACGUCGUGAGACAGUUUGGUCCCUAUCUGCAGUGGGCGUUGGAAGUUUGACGGGGGCUGCUCCUAGUACGAGAGGACCGGAGUGGACGAACCUCUGGUGUACCGGUUGUAACGCCAGUUGCAUAGCCGGGUAGCUAAGUUCGGAAGAGAUAAGCGCUGAAAGCAUCUAAGCGCGAAACUCGCCUGAAGAUGAGACUUCCCUUGCGGUUUAACCGCACUAAAGAGUCGUUCGAGACCAGGACGUUGAUAGGUGGGGUGUGGAAGCGCGGUAACGCGUGAAGCUAAUCCAUACUAAUUGCUCGUGAGGCUUGACUCUAU